GCUGGCAGCUAGCUCUCUGCAACUCUCACAUGGUCGCCCACUGAAGCUAAGCAGGGCUGCACCCGGUCUGUAUCUGGAUGGGAGACCACAUAGGAAAGCUAGGUUGCAGCCGAUC
rnacentral:rRNA from 1 species